rnacentral:rRNA from 1 species
GCCUAACACAUGCAAGUCGAACGGAGGGCUUCGGCCCUGNAGUGGCGGACGGGUGAGUAACGCGUAGGAAUCUGCCCGCGGGUGGGGGACAACCUGGGGAAACCCAGGCUAAUACCGCAUGAGCUCGCGAGAGGAAAGCGGGGGACCUUCGGGCCUCGCGCCGGCGGAGGAGCCUACGUCCGAUUAGCUGGUUGGUGGGGUAAAGGCCCACCAAGGCGACGAUCGGUAGCUGGUCUGAGAGGACGAUCAGCCACACUGGGACUGAGACACGGCCCAGACUCCUACGGGAGGCAGCAGUGGGGAAUCUUGGACAAUGGGCGCAAGCCUGAUCUAGCAAUGCCGCGUGGGUGAAGACGGCCUGCGGGUUGUAAAGCCCUUUGGGUGGGGAAGAAGGGCCGGCGGCGAACAGCGGCCGGUUUUGACACUACCCACGAAACAAGCACCGGCUAACUCCGUGCCAGCAGCCGCGGUAAUACGGAGGGUGCGAGCGUUAAUCGGAAUUACUGGGCGUAAAGCGUGCGUAGGCGGUUCGGUCAGUCAGCCGUGAAAGCCCCGGGCUCAACCUGGGAACGGCGGUUGAGACGGCCGGACUGGAGUGGGCCAGAGGAUCGUGGAAUUCCGGGUGUAGCGGUGAAAUGCGUAAAGAUCCGGAGGAACACCGAUGGCGAAGGCAGCGGUCUGAACCACACUGACGCUGAGGCACGACAGCGUGGGGAGCAACAGGAUUA